GACGAACGCUGGCGGCGUGCUUAACACAUGCAAGUCGAACGGAAAGGCCCUGCUUUUGUGGGGUGCCCGAGUGGCGAACGGGUGCGUAACACGUGAGUAACCUGCCCUUGACUUUGGGAUAACUUCAGGAAACUGGGGCUAAUACCGGAUAGGAGCUCCUGCAGCAUGGUGGGGGUUGGAAAGUCUCGGCGGUUGGGGAUGGACUCGCGGCUUAUCAGCUUGUUGGUGGGGUAGUGGCUUACCAAGGCUUUGACGGGUAGCCGGCCUGAGAGGGUGACCGGCGACAUGGGGACUGAGAGACGGCCCAGACGCCUACGUGAGGCAGCAGUGGGGAAUAUUGCACAAUGGGCGGAAGCCUGAUGCAGCAGCGCCGCGGUCGUGAUGACGGCCUUCGGGGUGUGAAACGCAUCCGCUUGUGACGAAGCGUGAGUGACGGUAAUGGGUAAAGAAGCACCGGCUAACUACGUG
rnacentral:rRNA from 1 species